rnacentral:rRNA from 1 species
GACGAACGCUGGCGGCGUGCUUAACACAUGCAAGUCGAACGGAAAGGCCCUGCUUUUGUGGGGUGCUCGAGUGGCGAACGGGUGAGUAACACGUGAGUAACCUGCCCUUGACUUUGGGAUAACUUCAGGAAACUGGGGCUAAUACCGGAUAGGAGCUCCUGCUGCAUUGUGGGGGUUGGAAAGUUUCGGCGGUUGGGGAUGGACUCGCGGCUUAUCAGCUUGUUGGUGGGGUAGUGGCUUACCAAGGCUUUGACGGGUAGCCGGCCUGAGAGGGUGACCGGCCACAUUGGGACUGAGAUACGGCCCAGACUACUACGGGAGGCAGCAGUGGGGAAUAUUGCACAAUGGGCGGAAGCCUGAUGCAGCAACCCCGCGUGCGGGAUGACGGCCUUCGGGUUGUAAACCGCUUUCGCCUGUGACGAAGCGUGAGUGACGGUAAUGGGUAAAGAAGCACCGGCUAACUACGUG